AUGAACGCUGGCGGCAUGCCUAAGACAUGCAAGUUGAACGGAGCGAACUUAUGAAGAUGGAGUGCUUUGCACAAAGUUGGAAUUUGACCUCGCUUAGUGGCGAAAGGGUGAGUAACACGUGGGAAUCUGCCUUUGAGACUGGGACAACAGUUGGAAACGACUGCUAAUACCGGAUGAUAUAUAAGAUGAUACGUUAUCUUAUAUUAAAAGAAGCCUUUAAAGCUUCACUUAAAGAUGAGCCUGCGACGUAUUAGCUAGUUGGUGGGGUAAAGGCCUACCAAGGCGACGAUGCGUAGCCGACCUGAGAGGUUGACCGGCCACAUUGGGACUGAGAUACGGCCCAGACUCCUACGGGAGGCAGCAGUGGGGAAUAUUGGGCAAUGGGCGCAAGCCUGACCCAGCAACGCCGCGUGAAGGAAGAAGGCUUUCGGGUUGUAAACUUCUUUUAAGAGGGAAGAGCAGAGGACUGUACCUCUAGAAUAAGCCACGGCUAACUACGUG
rnacentral:rRNA from 1 species